GACAGAGGUGCCAAGCGUUAGGCGGAAUCACUGGGCUUAAAGCGUGUGUAGGCGGACUCGUAAGUACCUUGUGAAAUCCCGCAGCUCAACUGUGGAACUGCUGGGUAUACUGCUUGUCUUGAGCCACUUAGGGGCUGUCGGAACAGGCGGUGGAGCGGUGAAAUGCGUAGAUAUCGCCUGGAACGCCAAAGGUGAAAACAGACAGCUGGGAGUGUGCUGACGCUGGAGACACGAAAGCCAGGGGAGCGAACGGG
rnacentral:rRNA from 1 species